UGGGGAAUUUUGGACAAUGGGCGAAAGCCUGAUCCAGCCAUGCCGCGUGAGUGAAGAAGGCCUUCGGGUUGCAAAGCUCUUUUAGUCGGAAAGAAAGAGUUGCAAUGAAUAAUUGUGAUUUAUGACGGUACCGACAGAAAAAGCACCGGCUAACUACGUGCCAGCAGCCGCGGUAAUACGUAGGGUGCGAGCGUUAAUCGGAAUUACUGGGCGUAAAGGGUGCGCAGGCGGUCUUGCAAGUCAGAUGUGAAAGCCCCGGGCUUAACCUGGGAAUUGCGUUUGAAACUACAAGGCUAGAGUGCAGCAGAGGGGAGUGGAAUUCCAUGUGUAGCAGUGAAAUGCGUAGAGAUGUGGAAGAACACCGAUGGCGAAGGCAGCUCCCUGGGUUGACACUGACGCUCAUGCACGAAAGCGUGGGGAGCAAACA
rnacentral:rRNA from 1 species